UGGGGAAUUUUGGACAAUGGGCGAAAGCCUGAUCCAGCAAUGCCGCGUGUGUGAAGAAGGCCUUCGGGUUGUAAAGCACUUUUGUCCGGAAAGAAAUCCUUGGCUCUAAUACAGUCGGGGGAUGACGGUACCGGAAGAAUAAGCACCGGCUAACUACGUGCCAGCAGCCGCGGUAAUACGUAGGGUGCAAGCGUUAAUCGGAAUUACUGGGCGUAAAGCGUGCGCAGGCGGUUUGCUAAGACCGAUGUGAAAUUCCCGGGCUCAACCUGGGAACUGCAUUGGUGACUGGCAGGCUAGAGUAUGGCAGAGGGGGGUAGAAUUCCACGUGUAGCAGUGAAAUGCGUAGAGAUGUGGAGGAAUACCGAUGGCGAAGGCAGCCCCCUGGGGCCAAUACUGACGCUCAUGCACGAAAGGCGUGGGGGAGCAAACAGGAUUAGAUACCCCUGGGUAGUCCACGCCCCUAAACGAUGUCAACUAGUUGUUGGGGACUUCAUUUUCCUUAGUAACGUAGCUAACGCGUGAAGUUGACCGCCUGGGGAGUACGGUCGCAAGAUUAAAACUU
rnacentral:rRNA from 1 species